rnacentral:misc_RNA from 1 species
GGGUAAGUAACAGAACAGGCAUUGAGACAAAACUAGUUCUACUUUGUUGAGCUUGAAGCUAGGGAGGUGUGCCGGCUCGCUAGAUGUUCCAAUUUCCAAAACUCCAGUGGUUCGUCAGCUGCACACAGCGACCACUCUUCAAGAGUAGAAAGCUAACCAUCAUCAGCUUUAACCAUAGCCAAACACUUAUGUAGUAAGCCACACAUGAUCGUCUCUGCUUCUGGCUUCUGGGUCUAAUGGUUACAGUCAUUUUUAUCCUCCUAAUGCCUUUUUUCUCCACUCUCAUUUGAUAUUUUUCGCUUUUGACUGAUACCCAUUCGGCCUAAUCCCUUUUGGCCAGCCGAAAAGUUUACUUAUUUCCUAAUUCACCUACCACUAAUCCCUAAACCCCACCCAUUAAGUUUUUAUUUUUCUGGAAGCAAAAGAAACUUAUGAAAAGCUUCCACCUUUUGCUUAGAGGAGCUAAUUCCGCAGAUCUAUAACCUUGGAACCCCUUGUUUUUAAGAUUAAACCUGAUUUUUUUAGCAGGUUUUUCUUGUUUUUCUUAUGAAAGUUCAUACCCACUUUUCAUUUUUUACUUUUUAUUUUUAAAAUUUUUCCAUUUCGUUCUGGAUUUUUCUGGUGCUGUUAAGCAAAGAUGACAAUUAGGUUUCAAUGAAAGGGGUUCUUUUUGAUUUCUGCCUGAAUCUAUAGAUCUAUAGGCUUCAACUCCCUUUUAUUUUUUUUUGAAGAUAGAGUGUGGGCAUUGUUUGUUGAAGCAGAGAUGAUUCAUUUGUUAUUCUUAGUUCUCUUUGCUGAGGGAGUUGUGGCAUUCUUAUUACUGGUAAAGAUUGGUCCCUUGAGAGAGUUAGUAAUAAAGAGUUUGGAUCAACUGAAGAUGGGAAAGGGUCCAGCCACGGUGAAGACCAUUGCUAGUACCAUGUCUGUGAUUCUUGUUUCAAGCCUUAUGAGUAUCAUUAAGAUCCAAAACAAGGGUGCAAAGCUUGGCACUAUGUCACCUAUGGAUCAGGUUCUCUGGAGGACCUACUUGCUUGAGGCAUCACUCAUGGGUUUCACACUAUUUCUUGGGUUCAUGAUUGAUCGUGUGCACCACUAUCUUACAAAACUUAUUGGAUUGAGAAGUAGUAUUGGAUCUUCAAAAGAAGAAGUUGAAAGGCUUCAGAAAGAUAAAAUGCAGCUUAAAGAGAAGGAGGAGAAAGCUUCCAAGGAAAUAAAGCUACUAAAGGAGCAAAUUUCUACUCUAUCAGAGAAUUUGAACAAGCUGAAGUUGGAAAAUGAAGAGAAGGAGAAGCAGAUUGAAACUGCCGAAGCCCAUGUUGCUUCUCUUCAGAAACAAUCUGCUGACCUAUUACUUGAAUAUGACCGUUUGUUAGAAGACAACCAAAAUCUUCAGGCUCAAGGUCUAGGAUACAAGGGCUGAGAAAAUUUUGAAAUUUGCCAAGUAAGUAAUUCAGGUUUUGUGAAGUAUUUUUGUUCACUGAGUUUUGGCAGAAAACGUCCCUGUCUCAUGGAAAUGGCCAUUAUUCAAUGCAUCUUAGUAGGGUAAAAGGAGGCAUUGGCAACAUUUCCCAGAACAGAGAAUGGUUCCAAUUGACCAGGAUCAGAAAUUUUGUAAUUCUUAAAUCUAGAAUCUUUGGUUCUGCCAUCUUUGUUUUCUAUUGUUGAUAGCGGCUUUUUCUCUCUAUUUAACUUUCUCCAACGGGUAUAGUCGUGUGACUUAGAUUGUUGAUGGCAUUCAUAUAUUUGAAACUGGUGGAGAUAGUUGGGAACUUGGAAUUAUUCGUAAAUGUAUUAUGCUUUCUCUUUCUUCCUCUUGUGUGUUCUGUUGCAAGUGUGCCUAACUAUUUGCAAUUACAGUGAAGGACUUUGGCAACCAAAUCCUGAUCAGAUUAGAAAAUAGAUGGAGCAGAUGACUAAAAUUUUUUCAUGUCAAGCGGAGGUCCCCAAGCAAUAGAACAAGAAAAUGUUGAAACAUCUAUUCUACUGCAUUACACAUAAGAUAUAGAAAGAAUAAUUAUCAUAUACAUUGGAAACACAUCAUCUCUAUUAUACCACAUUCAACUGGGAUCCAGAAUAAACAGGCACAUCAAUCUGCUUAAUGGCCUACAUGGCUGAAUACUCUUGAUCUGUGUCAGAGAGCCAGAAAAUUCCGGAACACAAAAGGUAGAGACUCAGAGCCUCAGUGUACAGAUGGAAAGGUGAUCCAGGCCUUUGCUUUCUUUCUCCAGACUAUGCUCCACUCUUAUAAACAAACAUCUGGCUGUGACCGAGCCUUUCAGUUCAAAAGGUAAUCUCUGUUCUUAGCAGACUCCUGCUAGGGGAGUACUUUUGCUUGAUGCAAAUUGUCCAACGACGAUGACGUUUUCUUUGGCCCGUUCAGUGUGAAUUGUGAUUAGAAGAAAGCUCCAUAAGAUGAGCUGUUAAUGUGAUUGGAAGUUUGGGUUUUAUGCAACAAGGAUCUCAAAGCGAUUACUAAAGAAAAUGUCCUUUCACUUCUUCCAUGACAUGAAACACCAAUUCAGUCUCUGGGACACAUCUGUUAGCUCUCAUCACAUCAUCCAGAGUGCCCAAUAUUUGCAAUAUAUCUUCAUAUUGAUUGAGGCUCUUGUGUUCCAUUAGAAAAACUUGGUGUUUCCCAUUGACUUCCACUGCACUAUAACCAGGCACUUUCCUCAUUCCCGUGUUUUUCAUUAUCUUCCUCAAAACAGCCGCUUCAUCCCACUUCUUGGCCAUGGAAAAGAAGUUUGAAACCAAAACAUAAAUUCCCAGAUCAUCCGGAUUUGACUCAAGAAUCUUCUUUGCUGCCACCUCUCCAAUCAAUAAUUUUCUAUAAUUAUGGCAACCUGACAAAAGAGUAGCCCAAAUGGCAAGCCCCAGUUCAAUGUGCAUUGAUUCUAUUAGCUGAUAAGCAUCUUCCACUAGUCUGUUCGGCUCAAAAGAUCAACCAUACAAGCAUAAUGCUUCUUAUCCGGCUGAAUCUUAGAUUCAUUAACCAUGAAAUGAAACCAGUGUUCGCCUUCUUUUACUAGUCCUUAGUGGCUAAAAGCUGAGAGAAGAGAAGCGAAAGUUGCAUGUGGAUUUAAGUUUUUGUUUCUCUCAUCUGAAGGAAUAGUGAGAGAGCUUCCUUCCCCUCUCCAUGGAUUCCAUAGCUGGCAAUCAUUGCAUUCCACAAUAUGUCCCUACAAUCUAUUUGAUCAAAUAAGGUACGUGCAUAAGAAAGUGCUCCACAUUUUGCAUACAUGUUGAUCAAUGCAGUGACUGAAACUUGCUCAAACUGCCUUCUAACAAUAUAUCCAUGUAGAGAUUUCCCCCAUUUCAAAUAUCCCACUUGUGAACAUGCCAAAAGCGCACUGAUAAGAGAAACUGAAUCUGGUUUGAACCCAAAACUCUGCAUCUCGACCAACAAUGCAAGGGCGAUUCCUACAAAACCAUUUUGAGCGAAGCCAGAAAUCAAUGCUCCCCAAGAAAUAACAUUCUUACGUGGUAUUUUCCCUGAAGACACGUGAAGCGAGCUCCAAUUGCUCAUCUUUAGCGUACAUAUCAACAAUGCUAGCUUCAAGAAGGACAUUGUCCAGGGCCUUCUCUCUCCUAACCAUAUGCACAUGAACAGAAAGAACCAAUUUUGAAUCACCAAGACCACCACAAGCCCGAAUUAACCCCGCUAUAGCAACUUCAUCUCCUUGAAUACCCUCUUUCUGCAUCUUGCUAUGACCAUCAAUGGCUUCCGAUGCCCGCCUGCUUCGUAGAAAUCCAGCUAUCAUAGUAGUCAAACUCACAAUAUCCUUUUUCAACAUUUUAUCAAACACCACCUUUGCUUCAUCCAUUUUCCCGCACUUAGCGUACAAAUUCAAAACAGAUGGCGCAACAAACACAUCACGCCCAUAUCUAAAAUGCAUAACCUGAUGUCAAAUUUCCUCUCCCGCUUCCAGCUCCAUCAAGCUUGAACAGGCCUUUAGUGCGACUGUGAAAGUGGAGCUAUCGGGUCUGACCCCCUCAGUUAUCAUAUUAUCGUAAAGAUUUGAAACUUCUCCAGGAUAAAUUCGAGAAUAUACGAUGAUCAUAGAAUUCCAUGCGUCCACGCCUCUUUGAGUUAAAUUGUCGAAUAUGUGGCGGGCAGAAACGAGGUCGCCAAUGCAUGCAUAUGAUGCGAUUAGGCGACCAACGGAAUUCGAGUUAGCGGAGAAACCAGUUGUGAGCAUGAAAGCGUGGAUUUGGGCAAUCUAUGUUUUGUCUUUGCAAGCAAAAGGAGAGGUUUGAGGCAAUUUGGCCAUAAAAGUGGCCGCAUUUAUGAAUUAUUAGGAGCAAAAAAACCUCACUUGUUUGCUGCGUCGGUACCUGUCAAGUAAAUGAGAAAUGAAAAUAGAGAGAAACAGAUUUCAAAAGGGAUUUUGGAUUUUCUAUCAUUAUUAGGAAAAAAGGUCUUCUUUUUCUUUGUGAGAGAAUUCUUAAUCAAUUUCCAUGAUUUCUUGUUAAAAGAUGGAAAACAAUUCCUUGUACCUGCUUUGCUGAGUGUUGAUGGUUGACGUCAAUUUCCCACUUGCUCAGCUACUGUUUUUCCAAAGUGAUUGUGAAAUGGAUAAGAAUCAAUUCUCCCAACUACCCAAUUUUCUAAUUGGCAGGGACUUUUGUGAAGGAAACGCAAAACGCUUCCAUUAAGACAAGCGAACAAAGCUAUAUUCUACUGGGUUUGGAUUCCAGGGCUUGUGUUCUUAAGUAGUUGCAGAUCCUUGGUUUGUCCUCAACAUUUUACUGGGUCUGUUUUUAUCCUUAUCCUUCCGCUCUGCUGAAAGACUUGAAAACUCUAACAUGGAAGAUCAACAAGGAAGCAAAAAUUUGCCGAAGCUUCCUAUUCCAGGGAAAAGAAACAUACUCAUCACAAGCGCCUUGCCUUAUGUUAAUAACGUCCCUCAUCUUGGCAAUAUUAUUGGCUGUGUUUUAAGUGCUGAUGUGUUUGCUCGUUAUUGCCGUCUCCGAGGCUACAAUGCUAUAUACAUAUGCGGAACUGAUGAGUAUGGGACAGCUACUGAAAAUAAGGCUAUGGAGGAAAAUUGUACCCCUCAGGAGAUCUGUGACAAAUAUCAUGUAAUCCAUAAAGAGGUCUAUGACUGGUUUGACAUAAGUUUUGAUGAAUUUGGGCGCACAUCGACUCCUCAGCAAACUGAGAUUUGCCAAGCAAUUUUCAAGACGCUGAUGGAAAACAACUGGCUUUCAGAGAACACAAUGCAGCAGCUUUACUGCGAUACAUGCGAGCGUUUCUUAGCAGACCGGUUUGUGGAAGGUACCUGCCCAACACUGGGUUGUGAUUAUGCUUCUGCACGUGGGGAUCAAUGUGAAAAGUGUGGAAAACUUUUAAAUCCCACAGAACUUAAAGAUCCUAGAUGCAAAUUAUGUCAGACAACUCCAAGGAUUCGUGACACUGACCACUUGUUUCUAGAGCUCCCAUUACUGAAGGAUAAAUUGCAAAACUAUAUUGAUGAGACUUCAGUUAUAGGAUCUUGGAGCCAAAAUGCUAUUCAAGCUACAUAUGCAUGGCUUAGAGAUGGACUUAAACCUCGCUGCAUUACUAGGGAUCUGAAGUGGGGGGUUCCUAUUCCACUUGAAAAAUUCAAGGAUAAGGUCUUCUAUGUUUGGUUUGAUGCACCUAUUGGAUAU